rnacentral:rRNA from 1 species
UACGAAGGGGGCUAGCGUUGCUCGGAAUCACUGGGCGUAAAGCGCACGUAGGCGGAUUGUUAAGUCAGGGGUGAAAUCCUGGAGCUCAACUCCAGAACUGCCUUUGAUACUGACGGUCUUGAGUUCGGGAGAGGUGAGUGGAACUGCGAGUGUAGAGGUGAAAUUCGUAGAUAUUCGCAAGAACACCAGUGGCGAAGGCGGCUCACUGGCCCGAUACUGACGCUGAGGCGCGAAAGCGUGGGGAGCGAACAGG